GACGAACGCUGGCGGCGUGCCUAAUACAUGCAAGUAGAACGCACAGUUUAUACCGUAGCUUGCUACACCAUAGACUGUGAGUUGCGAACGGGUGAGUAACGCGUAGGUAACCUGCCUGGUAGCGGGGGAUAACUAUUGGAAACGAUAGCUAAUACCGCAUAAUAUUGAUUAUUGCAUGAUAAUUGAUUGAAAGAUGCUAUUGCAUCACUACCAGAUGGACCUGCGUUGUAUUAGCUAGUAGGUGAGGUAACGGCUCACCUAGGCGACGAUACAUAGCCGACAUGAGAGGGUGAUCGGCCACACUGGGACUGAGACACGGCCCAGACUCCUACGGGAGGCAGCAGUAGGGAAUCUUCGGCAAUGGACGAAAGUCUGACCGCGCAACGCCGCGUGAGUGAAGAAGGUUUUCGGAUCGUAAAGCUCUGUUGUAAGAGAAGAACGGGUGUGAGAGUGGAAAGUUCACACUGUGACGGUAUCUUACCAGAAAGGGACGGCUAACUACGUG
rnacentral:rRNA from 1 species